rnacentral:tRNA from 1 species
GGGGUGUUAGCUCAGCUGGGAGAGCACCUGCCUUGCACGCAGGGGGUCAGCGGUUCGAUCCCGCUACGCUCCACCA